CUCCUUUCCAGCAUCUUUCAGAGGUCACGUUCAUGCCCUGAAAAUAUAUCAAUUUAAUCCUCUCCCUUCUGAAUUCUUUUUGAAAACUGGACCUUGGGAUUUUGAUACCAUCUGAAUAAAAAUGAAGGAGAAGUAGAAAAUAGAGAUCAUCAAAAUAGGAUCUCCAGGUGCUGCAGAGGAGCCAUGCCUAGAUCUGAAGACCAGAAGUGAGCUGAGCAAAGAGGAAUGGGCAGGAACUGUUGGCCAGAAGCUGCACCUGGACAUGAGGAAGAAGUUCUGCCCUGUGCAGUGACCAAGCCCUGAUCAGAUUGCCCAGAGAGGCCGUGGGGAGGUGGCACCAGGUGACCCCAGGGGUCCCUUCCAGCCUUACCCAUCCUGUCAAAUCCUCCCUGUGAAAUCCUUCCUGAUGCUCUUCAGGUUUUCUCUGCCCACCUGCAAUCCCUCUCCAGGUUUCUCUUCCUGGCACUGGCACCAAAUUAGCAGGAGUGGGAUGGAUUAAGGUUUCCCUUCCCCAAAAACUGUAAAUUAAAGCCCUCUUGU